UAGAUUAUAUCCUAAUAAAAGUAUUCCAUUUACAUUGAAAAGAUAUUAAUUUUUUUAAUUAAUCUAA
rnacentral:tRNA from 1 species